rnacentral:rRNA from 1 species
GUGAGGAAUAUUGGACAAUGGGCGCAAGCCUGAUCCAGCCAUGCCGCGUGCAGGAAGACGCAUCUAUGGUGUGUAAACUGCUUUUGUACGGGAAGAAACACUCCCUCGUGAGGGAGCUUGACGGUACCGUAAGAACAAGGAUCGGCUAACUCCGUGCCAGCAGCCGCGGUAAUACGGAGGAUCCAAGCGUUAUCCGGAAUCAUUGGGUUUAAAGGGUCCGUAGGCGGUUUAAUAAGCCAGUGGUGAAAGCCCAUCGCUCAACGAUGGAACGGCCAUUGAUACUGUUAGACUUGAAUUACAAGGAAGUAACUAGAAUAUGUAGUGUAGCGGUGAAAUGCUUAGAUAUUACAUGGAAUACCAAUUGCGAAGGCAGGUUACUACUUGUGGAUUGACGCUGAUGGACGAAAGCGUGGGGAGCGAACAGGAUUAGAAACCCCGGUAGUCC